ensembl:lncRNA
GUGGCAACAGUACCAGGCGGCAGGCUCAGGGUAAGGCAGAGGUUGGUAGUCCAGAUGGUGGCGAAGGUACAGGUCGGUAGGCAGGCUCAGGGUAAGGCAGAGGUCGGUAGUCCAGAUGGUGGCGAAGGUACAGGUCGGUAGGCAGGCUCAGGGUAAGGCAGAGGUCGGUAGUCCAGAUGGUGGCGAAGGUACAGGUCGGUAGGCAGGCUCAGGGUAAGGCAGAGGUCGGUAGUCCAGAUGGUGGCGAAGGUACAGGUCGGUAGGCAGGCUCAGGGUAAGGCAGAGGUCGGUAGUCCAGAUGGUGGCGAAGGUACAGGUCGGUAGGCAGGCUCAGGGUCAGGGGCAGGC